rnacentral:lncRNA from 1 species
AGUCCUAGCCAGAGCAAUCAGACAAGAGAAAGAAAUAAAAGAUGGGCUUUUCAGAGGAUGAUGGCCAACUAGAUGCAGCCAGGAGGAACAUCUGCCAUUCAGGGACUGGGACACUGGGAAGAGUGGUACACUCUGAGCCGAUCUCUGGAGGGAAGGCAUUGAGAAUGGAUGCAGGGAGGACACAGAUGUUGGGCUGAAGAACAAGGAGGCUCGGAACUCUGGACAGGGCUACCACACACUGGGACUCAUUCCUGGCCUCAACAACUCCUGGAGAAGGCACGAGUUAAGAAGGUGCAGAGUGGAGACAAUCAAGUCAUAUAUCACAUAAACAAUUAAAAACUCUCCUUUGGCUGUAAGCUUUUUGAAAUGAUGAAGUGCUGGUACAGAGUGAGCUGUCCUUGAGUUACUUUC